UUUUCAGUUCUUUUCUCUAGUUAUUUAAGCAGAUCAUAAGAUGGAUGUUUCGCAAGACGAUCACCGGAAUUCACCCGAUUCUCUUUCUGUGAGCAAACAACCCAAAUCCUGGUAUCGCUGUUGUGUUUGUGGGACAACGUCUCGAAAAACACCAGACAGGAAAUUCUUCAGAUUUCCUAAGGAUCCUAUUAGAUCAAAACAAUGGGCUG